AACGAACGCUGGCGGCAUGCCUAACACAUGCAAGUCGAACGAGACCUUCGGGUCUAGUGGCGCACGGGUGCGUAACGCGUGGGAACCUGCCCUUAGGUUCGGAAUAACUCCCCGAAAGGGGUGCUAAUACCGGAUAAUGUCUUCGGACCAAAGAUUUAUCGCCUUUGGAUGGGCCCGCGUUGGAUUAGCUAGUUGGUAGGGUAAAAGCCUACCAAGGCGACGAUCCAUAGCUGGUCUGAGAGGAUGAUCAGCCACACCGGGACUGAGACACGGCCCAGACUCCUACGGGAGGCAGCAGUGGGGAAUAUUGGACAAUGGGCGAAAGACUGAUCCAGCAAUGCCGCGUGAGUGAUGAAGGCCUUAGGGUUGUAAAGCUCUUUUACCCGGGAUGAUAAUGACAGUACCGGGAGAAUAAGCUCCGGCUAACUCCGUG
rnacentral:rRNA from 1 species